CUCAGCCCCGUUAACGUCCGGUCUCUUUUAAACUCGGUCCCGCCCUGGCGCCCUGCUUUUUCGCCCGGCGGGUUCCUGAUGCGGUGCUGUGUCCAGGAUGCUGAUGAAGUUAAGCUCUGGACUUUGAGGUGAACUGGUCUGACUUCCGGAAGAGAAGGUCUGUACCAUGUGGAUGCAGCACCCAUGGAGGCCAGAAGAGGGCAUCAAAUCCCCCUGGGGUUGGAGUUAAAGUUGUGAACUACCACCAUGUGGGUACUAGAAAUUGAACCUAACUCCAAGAAAAGCAGCCAGCCCAGGCUCUUAAUUGCUAAGCUCUAAACUUUGGCAACUCAGAAUUGUUCAACACGCUAUUGAGAGAUCUAGUGUCCCCAGGAGAGUGAGGUAUAUGGUAGGAUCCACUUGGUGUCCUGGCUCAGUACUUGCUAUGUGUACUCUUAAAAGAUGUAGCUGGAAUGAGCUGACAACCUUUGUGAUUUAAACUACCGGGUAGAUACCUCCUUAUGUUCAAAUGCCCUAUAGAGAAAUGAAGCAGAUUGAAGUUAAUGUUUCCAGUCAUAAGCCCAGCCUGAGCUAGCUGUGCAGUGAUGGUGCACUGUUUUAAUCCUGGCAGAGGCAGGUGGAUUUCUGAGUUUGAGGCCAGCCUGGCCUACAGAGCAAAUUCCAGAACAGCUAAGGCUACUCAAAGACACCAAAAUACUCCAGCCUGAUCCUGUCAGGCACAGACCUCCUGACUUGAGCUAUAUAAGCUAGUCCUGCUAGUUCAAUAAUUGAGCUGUCCUCCAAAACAGUCUCCUCAGUCAUUCAUACCUGCUGAACCCUUGUCCAAGACCUUCCUCCUCAUUUCUUCUGUAUCCUGACCUCUUACCUUGGACAUGGCCAUCAACCUGUUGGGGAGAGAUAUCUUGGAAGUCCUAAAUUCGGUCCUCCCAAGUAACAUGGAAAGUGAGUGCACCGAGAUACAGGGCUGACAAAUGCCCUCACAGGGGUCACCCCCAGUUCUAAGAGCCACUGUUGGGUUUGAUAUUCUCUGCCUGCACUAGGUCUCAGAUUAGCCUGCUUGGUUUAACGGUGGCCUUUGCCUAGGGUGAAAUGACAAGUUCUUACUUAGCCCAUACUCCAAUAUAUUUGUCCUUCCUGUAGCUCCUGGAACACUCCCAUAAUUGCAAUGUAAAAAAACUCUAGGCAAUGGCAGCUACUAUAAGACCCACAAGCUAUCAACCAGACUGCUAGGAUCUGGGGAUCCCCUCAGUGGGGCCUUGUCUUUGCAAUCCUGGCCAACACUCCACUAUUGGCCAUAGAUAUUAAGGACUGUUUUCUCUAUUCCCCUAUACCCCAGAGACUGUCAAUGUUUUGCCUUUUGAACAGUCCCCCAAAUUAACAACUCUAGGCUAGCCUCCCGAUUUGAAUAGAGAGUCGUCCACAAGGGGUGGCCAACAUCCCCAUUAUAUACCAGGAAUUUGUUGCUACCACCUUGAAACUAUUUAGAAAAGAAAAUACACAUUAUUUUAUGGAUGAUAUCUUGGCCUUGGGAGAUCAAAAAACUUCACCAUGACCUCAAAGAUUUACUGAUCUCUCUAGCAAAAUAGGAUUCAAAGUAGCCCUGAAUAAGAUAUAACUCAUCACCUCUGUAGGACCAGUGGAACUGUGGGAAGGUUGAAUGGAUUCAGAAACCCUGGUAACUUGUAAUUGAGAAUGGUAGCCAUUUCUUCUACUCCUGACCAUGUUUCUGUCCUGGAGCAUGUGACCAUGGCACCCCGCAUGAGGACUGUGACAACUAGUUGUAGAGCAUAGAGUUCUCCAUGCUACUGAGGUAUCUAGAGGCCCUUAGGGUUUAGCCAAUAUGCUUCCCUUCCUAGGACAUUCCUUCCUGCAAAAGGUAUUUACUCUCUGGUCCCGU